AAAUAUGAAAAUGGAGGCACCUGAACCAAGACUACUGUGGCAGAGUGGACCCAAGACCUUGCUUUCCUCCUUCAUUGUUGGAAUAUAUUCAGAUAAAAAGCUGAUUGGUCAGUUUGCUGGAGAGAGUGUGGAAGUGGCAGAGGAGAUGGCAGCCAGUUGUUC